GACGAACGCUGGCGGCGUGCUUAACACAUGCAAGUCGAACGGAAAGGCCCUGCUUUUGUGGGGUGCUCGAGUGGCGAACGGGUGAGUAACACGUGAGUAACCUGCCCUUGACUUUGGGAUAACUUCAGGAAACUGGGGCUAAUACCGGAUAGGAGCUCCUGCUGCAUGGUGGGGGUUGGAAAGUUUCGGCGGUUGGGGAUGGACUCGCGGCUUAUCAGCCUGUUGGUGGGGUAGUGGCUUACCAAGGCUUUGACGGGUAGCCGGCCUGAGAGGGUGACCGGCCACUUUGGGACUGAGGUAGGGGCCAGACUCCUAGGGGAGGCAGCAGUGGGGAAUAUUGCACAAUGGGCGGAAGCCUGAUGCAGCAACGCCGCGUGCGGGAUGACGGCCUUCGGGUUGUAAACCGCUUUCGCCUGUGACGAAGCGUGAGUGACGGUAAUGGGUAAAGAAGCACCGGCUAACUACGUG
rnacentral:rRNA from 1 species